rnacentral:lncRNA from 1 species
UUCCCUCCAGCAGUCUGUUACACAAGAGGGCCGCAUGGAGACUACUGGCAGGACAUGUAGCCCCAUAGGGCCAGGUUCAUCUCACUGAGCGCUGGGGUCUGAGGGCGAAGCCCUGCUGUGGACCUUCUGAUGAACAUAAAUGCAUCCUGACCACAACCAGCCAAGAACCCUCCCUGGAUCCUGCCAGCUCUGUGGUCCCUGAUGAAGAUGUAGCUCUCAGCCCUGAUGAUGCAGCUCCCGCGCCCUGCCUGCCUGCCUGCCUGCCGCUCAACUCCCUAUCAUAUUGUUCAUACAUAGACUUACCCUCUGAAACUACAGCCAAUCCUCCAAUUAAAUGUUUUCUUCUUUAA